UAGAAGAGCAAUCUGCAAGUGAAGCCACUAUUUCAAAGGUGGAUAAUGCCGGUCCCAGCGGUUUCACUCGCAGUGGGAGGUUAUUUGCUCCUGACGCGUUGAGGAGAGGGGAAGAAGAAAAAGAUAAAAAAGAAAAGGCCGAGGCUUUAGCCAGGGCGAUCCCAGCGGUUUCACUCGCAGUGGGAGGUUAUUUGCUCCUGACGCGUUGAGGAGAGGGGAAGAAGAAAAAGAUAAAAAAGAAAAGG
rnacentral:lncRNA from 1 species